CCUACGGGCGGCAGCAGUGAGGAAUAUUGGUCAAUGGCCGUAAGGCUGAACCAGCCAAGUCGCGUGAAGGAAGACGGAUCUAUGGUUUGUAAACUUCUUUUAUAGGGGAAUAAAGGUAUCCACGUGUGGAUAUUUGCAUGUACUUUAUGAAUAAGCAUCGGCUAACUCCGUUCCAGCAGCCGCGGUAAUACGGAGGAUGCGAGCGUUAUCCGGAUUUAUUGGGUUUAAAGGGUGCGUAGAUUGUUUUUUAAGUCAGCUGUGAAAGUUUGUGGCUCAACCCUAAAAUUGCCAUUGAUACUGGCAGUCUUGAGUAUGGUUGAGGUAGGCGGAAUGCGUGGUGUAGCGGUGAAAUGCAUAGAUAUCACGCAGAACCCCGAUUGCGAAGGCAGCUUACUAAGCCAUGACUGACACUGAAGCACGAAAGCGUGGGGAUCAAACAGGAUUAGAUACCCUAGUAGUC
rnacentral:rRNA from 1 species